rnacentral:rRNA from 1 species
AGCGAACGCUGGCGGCAGGCCUAACACAUGCAAGUCGAACGAACUCUUCGGAGUUAGUGGCGGACGGGUGAGUAACACGUGGGAACGUGCCUUUAGGUUCGGCAUAACUCAGGGAAACUUGUGCUAAUACCGAAUGUGCCCUUCGGGGGAAAGAUUUAUCGCCUUUCGAGUGGCCCGCGUCUGAUUAGCUAGUUGGUGAGGUAAAGGCUCACCAAGGCGACGAUCAGUAGCUGGUCUGAGAGGAUGAUCAGCCACAUUGGGACUGAGACACGGCCCAAACUCCUACGGGAGGCAGCAGUGGGGAAUCUUGCGCAAUGGGCGAAAGCCUGACGCAGCCAUGCCGCGUGAAUGAUGAAGGUCUUAGGAUUGUAAAAUUCUUUCACCGGGGACGAUAAUGACGGUACCCGGAGAAGAAGCCCCGGCUAACUUCGUG